UCUAAUAUGGCAGAUUAGUGCAAUAGAUUUAAGAUCUAUAUAAAUAAAUAAAAUUUUAUUUUUAGAA
rnacentral:tRNA from 1 species